AACCCCUUUAAGUCAGUAUUUACGCCACUGUAUCAAAUAUUAAUUUGUCACUUGCUGUCAUGCUUCUGAUAAUAUGGCAGUUUUCACUCGUGUGAUUUAUUUAUUUAGUUUAAAUUUGCAUUGGACAAGACUUUGAUACAUUGUGAUUACUGUUAUUGUUGUGAGGAUUGUUCUACUGCAGCAAAUACAAUGUACCUGUCACGGAGCGGUGUGGGAGGAUAACUCCACAGCGACCACAAGAGGGAAGGGAAAAGGUACUAGGCCUGGAAACUAGGGAAAGGGGGAAAGGUCACCACCUAGAGAAUUCCUAACCCGAGCCCUGACUACAAUAAGUAUGAACAGACCUUGUUGGUAGGAAUGUUCAUACGCUGGAACCUAGGGCCCUAUAUGACCCUAAGGGGCCCUGGAAAGAGAUGACCUAUUCUUUCCGGGCUGAAGGAACAGGAGACUCCGUCAGGCCUAAUACCGAAAGGUAGGGGAGAACCACAAACAAGAAAUAGGGAAAAGACACUUAACUCCAAAAUAUACAGAAAGGCAGGAACUCGGAGGAGAACCAGACACCAGCUCUUCACAACCAAAAGGAGCUAUCAACCGCAUAGCAUGAUGGGUGAGGCCAGACUAAAUAGAGGAGUAGGAAUUGUUGUGGUAAACCACUCCGAAAACGCAUUCUUCAGGAAGAAUAAGGUUUAUUGCAGCUAGCCGAGAGCAUCAACAGCUUCAAUCGCACAAAGGAAAAUGCUCAAAGCGGGAGAAGCCCACACUCAUCUUAUACACAUAACCAUCCUAAACUUUACAUACUUGUCUUAUCCUCAUUGGAUAGGUUAAACUCUCUCUACAACUCCAUUGGACAUCUCCAUAUAUGGAUAAUGCGUGCUUGCUUCAUGUUCUUCUUUGCCAACAUCUGUUAUUCAUUACCAAUGCUUGCUUCAUCUACUCUAUAGCCCCUCACCCAAGUGAGUCUACCCCCCCACUUUAGGAAUGUGUACACACACAUAAGAUUUGGGGAUGUAGUGUCUGGUAUAAUCAGGUGGCAUUAUACUAUAUAUUUUUCAUUUUCUCCUUCAGAAUGACCACUUAAGCUACACCUGAGACCAGAGGUGUGGUCAUACCCAGCAACAACACAGAAGAGUGAAACCAGAGAGGCUGUCAGAUCACAUCACGUGCAGCCAGUCUCCUAGAUCUUCUGACCCCUGUCACAGGAGAGACCGUGACAGUACCACAGGACACGCAAUAAAACCAGAGCCAAAAGACUCUGGACACAAUCCAAAACAAAGAAGCUCACGGUCGGCACUGUACACACAUUACAUCCAGUGGUCAGGCUAUACAGACUGCGGUGGUACUCAAUGUUAAGACAAGUGCGCAAAUCGAUCCACAGUUAGAAAAUGUAAACAUGGUGCUCACCAUAAAAUGUAUUUUAUUUAAUCCACAGUGUAACAAAUAAAGCAGGAUGGGAUCAAGGGUUUGAGAAAGCGUCUGUGUAUGCGAAAUGGCCGUAGACCGUCUGCUCUCCAGAUUAUUUCCUCCUGUCCUGCUUUUUUGUACACUGUGGAUUAUAUAAAAGACUUCUUUAUGGUGAGUGCCAUGUUUUCAUUUUCUAACAGUGGGUAGACCUUUAUCAUUCGUAGUGCACGACUUUAUUUAAAAAAAAAAAGAAAAUUGUCAGAUGUUUUGGUGCAUGCCUUUUAUUGUGCAAAAUUCUGCUAAAGUUAAGCCCCAAUGCCAGGCUUUGCCACUUUUCGAAGUGGUAUAUUAUUAAGGACAAGUUUAGUGUUUAGAUAUCUUUUUAUAGCGCAUUUAUUAUAUGCGACUUUUGCAAAAGUCGCAAAAAAAAGUUGCAUCUCCACGCCAGGCAACCCUUUGUGGCACAACCACAUCACACCUGUGCCAAAUUUAUCAAAACCGAGCACCAUUUCAUAAAUGUGGUGGAGCAACACAAACCACAGACAGACCUAAAACUGACACCAAAAGCACAGCCAAUGAUAAAUUCUCACCUAAGUUCCUAACUAGGUGUAUAACAACAGGCAAACAAAAAAGAUAAAUAACCAGCACAUCUUUUGCCCUGAAAAAUAAGAAUCCGAAAUGUUAUAUAAGCUACUGGUUUCAUCAUAGAUUUUCUGUUAGAUUUCUGAACUUGUGGCACAGCAUCUCAAUGAAACUAUUUUUUAUUAUUUUUUGUCUUCGCUGUUA